rnacentral:lncRNA from 1 species
AUUUUUAUAUGGUGUUUGUAUUUAUUAAUUUGAAACCAGGACAUAAACAAACAAAGAAACAAAUGAAAAAAAAAAACCACUUAGUAUUUUAAUCCUGUACCAAAUCUGACAUAUUAAGCCUGAAUGACUGUGCUGUUUUUCUCCUUUAAUUCUUGAUGUAGACAGAGUUGUGUUCUGAGCAGAGUUUAUAGUGAACACUGAAGCUCGUGAUCCAAGUAGAAGCUUCUACAUGGUGCUGCCAGUUGAAUAUGUGCAUUGAGGAAAUACUAGGUUCCCAGUGCCCAGUCACCACGUGUAGUCCUGUUCUGUAUUGAAAGACUGAUUUUGUAAAGGUGCAUUCAUCUGCGGUUAACUUUGACAGACAUAUUUAAGCCUUAUAGACCAAUCUUAAAUAUAAUAAAUCACACAUUCAGAUUUUCCCUGGUUCUGUCUGGCCUUUGUUUCUUUUGCAGAUCUGGAGCUUUCCCUCAGGUGUGUGCAUGCGCAAGAGGGCCCCGAUUCUCUUGCAUUGGGUCCUCUUCCCAGCUGCUUCCUUGAUAUUUGACUAGAUGAUGGUAUAGGUACAUGCAUACGGGAAGUCAGAAGGGCAGAGUUAAAACAAACCAGGGCCGGGGAAAACAUAAUUGUUUAGUAAGAUAUUUCAACUUUGAAAAAAAAAAAAAAAAAGGUCUCUUGAUUGAUUCAGUUCAAAAUUCUCCAUAGUAGAUUCAACCUCAAUUGUUUUAUGGAGUUAAGGAUGUAGUUGAUGGAACAUGUGCAAGACAGUGUUCAACUCCCAGACCUACAAGAAUAAAAACUUUAUUAAUCAUAUAUUCUAUUCAAAACAUCCACCUAGGGGCUAGAGCAAUGACUCUCCGUUAAGAGCACUGACUGCUCUUCCAGCCGUCCUGAGUCCAAUUCCCAGCACCCACACGGUGGCUCACAGCUAUCUGCAAUGGGAUCUGGUUCCUUCUUCUGAUGUGUGUGAAGGCAGAACACUCAUAUAAAAUAAAUAAAUAAAUAAACAAACAAACAAACAAACAAACUCACCCAGCAAUUAUAGAGAAUGUAAAGAGAAAAAAGUAAGUUGAAUUGAGUUCUAGAUGUAAACAUGUGUAGGCAACCGACCAAGGCAGAGAAUUGCCAAGGGCAUAAGGUCACCAUGCAAUGUCAGAAGAGCAUGGAUGGGUUGUGGGUUAUUUCAAAGCACAUAGUUAUGGUACUGUACAACCACAUAGAUAUACAUCAACUAUGUACGGUACAUAGUUGAUGAGCAAAGCCAAGAGGUCAUUAAAUAUUGUUAAUCAAAUCGUGGAGAAAGAUGAAGUUGUCUUGUUAACAUCGACAAUAAUACUGUCACAUUGCCAACAACUGCUGGUCUUAUUUUUUUUUUUAAUUAAAUAGAAGCAUAUGGCUUUAUUUCCCCUGUGGUGGUCAUCACAAUUGGUCCUUUUAAAUCUAUUUCUGUUUAAAUCUAUCACUGUUGUGAUAAUCACAACUGGACCUUCAGUAGAUGAAAUGAGUUUUUCAAUUUUUAUAAAUAUUCCUUUAAAUUGCACUAAUUUAAGAAAAAAGGAAGGAACCGUGUCAAGUGAGGAAAACCAACAUGACAUCAAAAGCUGAUGCCAGGAGUGUGUGAACAUUCAGAGAUGAUAGAGGAACAGUGACAUCUGAGAAGCAGGGCUCCAAGUCUACCUUGGAAGGAAGAAGUGUCUGUGCGCUUACCAAAUUUAGUUAGCCUCUGUUUAUUGGGUACUCAUGGUUGCAGGCAUGUCUCUGCUACGUGGUAUGCCUUGUGUUGUAUGCCUUCCUUCACAAACAGGAAGGCUGGGGAAGAUUUUUAUGGACUGGGCGAGGAUGAGGUGUGAGUGGUAAGUGGUCUUGGAGUUUGGAAUAGAGAACCAGUAGUGCAGAAAUGAGCAUGAAUUCGGUUCUUCAUCCAUUCUGUAUUUGGUCGUUUGGUAAUAAACAUCUUAUCCAGCACUUACACAGGUCAGUAGGGAUAAAACAGUGAAUAAAAACCUACAUGGUUCCUGACCCCAUAAAACUUAUUUUUUAAGUGAGUGGAAGAUACUAUUUAAGGUGUUAAAGUGGCACACUUGCAAGGGGAGUGAGUGUCAAGGCUGUGGAAAGGAAAUGACCUCGGAGAGAACAUUCUAGUUUAGAUUAGGAGGAUGAGAAGAAGUGGCCUCCAGGAAAACAGAGACUGGAAAGAACUACAGAUGGUAGGAAAAGUCUCAGAUCUGAAGGCUUAUGACAAUCUGAAAAGGAUGCCCCUGAACGUACACAGUGGCAUCUAGGUAGGCAGGGAACAGGCCAGGUUCCAAAGGAGUUCUGAUACAAGGUGUCUUGAUCCCGUUCCCUGUGCACUGGAGAAUAACUGAGAAGUCUCAUGUAGGAUGUGAUGAGACCUGACUUAAGAUUUCUGCAUACUGACCUGAGUAGGUAGGAAUUACACCGUGUGUUCUGGAUAGUAACCCACACAAGAAUAAACCCAACAAAAGGGUCCACUUAUGAGAGCCUUGCUUAUCUCCCCAGAGUGUCACUGAAGGGAACAACAGUUAAUUGUGAGCUGCUUGUGAAGAUAGAUUUCUGUCACCUGAGAUUGAACUCAUCCAAAGAUGGGUUAAACCUAGACUCCUGGAGAGAGCAGGGUAAAUUUACUUGAAUCCCACUGCUCUAUUUUUAUUCUUGGAUCAAAGUUUUUUUCUCAUAAACAAACUUAAUGCCCAGAGAGAACUCAACCCCUGUAUAUUUCAAGUAAGUGGCUUUGCAGAUAAAUACAUGCCAUUAAUUGUGGGGUUAUUUAUGAGAGUCUCUGAAUGGACAGGGACUCUAUUAAAAAUGAGGUCUAGAAGACUAUUUUAAGUUGGGAUUUUUUUUUUAAUAUAUGGAGUCCUUAGUCCAUUCAUGCUCCCAUUGAGCAAGUUGCUAGCCACUCACUAGCAUGGUGGUCCUAGCCCAGCGGAUGGGCUCAGAAUCUGCCUCUUUAGAAUGAUCUCACUGAAAACAGCCACAUGCUUUCCCAAGGGAGAAAACACUGAAUUGUUUUGAAGAGGGUUGACUCUUAAAAAAAAAAAAAUCUCUGAACAAAAGCCUUGCUGGGUGCCAACUUGGUUUGCGUAACUGCCUGAGAGCAGCAACCCCCAGCUUCCUGUACCAUUGUUCCUUGUGGUGGUUGGGGAGAAGGUGGUUGUGGGAGACCCAGAUGACCUCUCCUGUUUACACUUCUCUCACUGCAACUCUGUUGUUCUGUCUCCCUGCUGAAUUAGGAUUGGGCUACCCUGUGGGUGGGAGGUAGGGAUGGCAAUGGGUAAUCUCCUGUGGCUUCCAAGCCAGCGAUUGUUUGAGGCAGUGACAAACACAAUUCAGAUGUUCAAGUUUAUGAGCUGGGGUAGAGAACUUUGCUGGAGGUCCAUCCUAGGGUGGUAGUGGUUCCUGUUUGGGCUGUGUUUCUAGGAAGCCUGUGUCCUUGACCUCUCUUGGCAACCGGUGCUAGUUGGAGGGACAUGUGGAAAAAGUGAGUCCUGACAUUUUUUUCUUCUCUUACUUCUUCGCCAUUCUCUUUGUCGCCCUUCCUUCUCAUCCUUCACCUCUUCUUCCUCUUUCUUUUUCAUUCUUUCCCCUCUUCCUUUCCCCCUCUUUUGUUUUCUCUUCUUCCCAUUCUUCUUCAUUGCUCUCUAAUUCCAACCGUGUUGAGGUAAAACUGACACAAAUAAACGGCACAUAUGUAAAGAAUACAUUCUGAUAAACUUUUACACAUAUGUACAUCUAUGACACCAAGUUAGUAAAAUAUAUCCACCAUACCUGUGCUGCUUGGUUGGUUAUUUAUUUAUUCAUUCAAUCAGUCAAACUGACACAAGCUGGAGUCACCUGGGAAGAGGGGACUUUAAUUGAGGAGUUGCCUCCGUCAGAUUGGCUUGUUGUUGACAAGUCUCUGGGGUAUUUUCUUGAUGACAGAUGUGGAAGGGCCCAGCUUGCUAGGAGUAGUGAAAUGGCACUCCUGGGAAAAUGGCCCUGGAUUGUAUAUAUAAAAAAAAAAGCAAGUGGUCUCUGCUUCUGCUACCGCCUUGGCUUUCUUCGAGGACGAACUGUAACCUGCGAGCAGAAAUAAACACGUUUCCUCUCC